CGCGACCUCUGCGCUUAGUCUUAAUGACUCUCGGCAACGGAUAUCUCGGCUCUUGCAUCGAUGAAGAACGUAGCGAAAUGCGAUACUUGGUGUGAAUUGCAGAAUCCCGCGAACCAUCAAUUCUUUGAACGCAAGUUGCGCCCGAAGCCAUCCGGCCGAGGGCACGCCUGCCUGGGUGU
rnacentral:rRNA from 6 species